GCCAUGUAUCCCAGGCUGGCCUUGAAUUCAAUCUGUAGCCAAAAAGAACUUUCAACUCUGAUCCUCCUGCCUCUCUACUUCCAGAGUUCUGAAUCAAACCGAAGGAGUCUUGAAUGCCACAGGAACACUCUCCCAAAUGAGCUCUGUCCCCAGCCUGCCAUCUGUUUCCUGCUGGACCUAAUAAGGCGUAGCCACUAGCUUGCUCUAUGACCCUGGGGCAGUUUCUUGUUUCCGGGCCUACAGAAUGAGUUGGACUACACAGCUUCAUGUGCCACAAUUCCCUGCCCCUGCUGGGUAGUCUGCUCAUUUAAGGCCAGGAAAGAAAUGUGCACAGCGGGGUCCAGUUCACUAAUGAAGAGGGUAGGAUGGGCAGCUUCCUCCCUUCCCUGCAGUGUGUCUUCCCUUAGCCCCUUCCUAAGGGCUUUCCUCUUCUCAGGCUUUAAGAUACCAGAUACCAGCCAGGCAGUGGAGGCCCGCACCUUAAUCCCUGCGCUCAGGAGGCAGAGGCAGGCAGAUCUCCGUGAGUUCGAGGCCAACCAGUUCCAGGACAGCCAGGGCUACACAGAGAAAAAGUGUAUCCGUUCCUUUCUGACCACAAAGGCCCUGCCCCGGGUUUUAACAUAACCAAGGAAGCAAAGUACGGAGUCAGCGUUCUCCACCGACCUGCACAGAGAAGCUACACUUGUUUCUGUGCUGGGAAAUGCUGGGGAAAUCUCUGCCUUCUGAAUGACCGUAACCUGAACGCUGCUGAAAGAUACAAAGUGCUCUGAGUUCAGAUCUCUCACUGGACUUGUUCCAAGAAGACUCUAAUAAUUUUAUAUUCUGAUGGGGAGGUUUACAGAGGGUGCUGGGAGUAGAAUCCUGGGCCUCGCGUGUAAAUCAAGUGCUCUCUGCCUAUUCCAAGGCGUCUUUGUUUCUCUUUUGUUUACCUAUUUAUUUAUUUUUGAAACAGGCUCUCUAUGUAGUCCGGCCGUCUUGGAAUUCACUAUGCAGAUAGGCUGGCCUCAAACUCAGAGAUCUGCCCGAUUCUGCCUUCUCUUUCUUUAGUGCUGUGACUAAAAUGCUACCACAGCCAGCGCUGGUUUCUUGAGGAAACUACUACAGAAUCUCUUAAGUCCUUUCAGCUCCUAAAAUUAGUGAUUGGGGUGAAGGAGCACAAAUAAUUCCAUUCCCACCACAACAUUCGCCCUGGCAGCCUAUAGCUGCCGCCUUCAUCAGUCUCACCCAGGGUAGCGUCCCCUCACCCUGAAGUGGGGGAAAACCCUGGGACAGCUCCUAAAAUCUUCACUUCCUGUUUUACCGGAGGGGCUGGCCCUGGAGAAAAUAUCCCUCUAAGAAACAGCAAGCCCAAAACCCUCGGCAAGUACAAGGCCCCUGUGGGUCCUGACGCAGAACUUUCCAGAUCCUCUCAGGGCUUCGAAGUCGUCAGUACAGCAGCCUCAGAAGGCAGAGACUCGGCAGCACCAGCCUUCAGGACACACAGUCUCGUCCCCUGGGUGACUCGGCCGGCUCUUCCGCCUCACGGGCAGGUCGGUGAGGUGAUGGCGUGCAGCUACCUCGCGCCCCACUAGAUCUCGGACACGAGAAAAAGCUCGGACACGAGGCGCUGAAGGGACCUGGAGCCUCCACGUCCUCUUCGCCCGGGCGCCCAGUCCCCGCCCACGCGAGACCAGGCGCAGCUCCUCCAGGAAGCGCCGCUCCGGCUUCCGCGUCUGCGCAUGCGCCUGUGCCAGCCCAAGAAGCGCCGAGAGAAGGCCGCUAGGGGGCAGGGCGGAGCCCUGCGGUCGCGCGCGUGCGCAGCAAGCUCGUGGCUGGCUGCCUGUUUGCGGGCCCCUUGCAGCCGGUGCUGUGGUGUGUGCCUGUCGGCCCCGGGCCGGGCCGAGUGACUGCUGGGUAGGUGGUGACCCCCACCUCAGGAAGACCUGUUUGUGUGGAAGAAGCCUAGGGUGAGAGACUGGCCAAGUUCAGUCCGGAGCCCCACUUCCCCGCCUUCAGGACCCUGGUUCAGAACUGGCCUCGCUUUCCUCGUAAGAUCAGGAGCACGCUGGGGAAGAAGGCCAGGGCCAGGUACAGCCAGUGACCCGGCAGUCUUAGGAAGAGGAACCAGAUUUGGCCACAUCGAGGAUUCCAGCUGCAUCCCGUGCCUUCCAGAAGUGCAUCGUCUCCCUGCCCUGUCCACCCGUGGGAUAGGGAGGUGGAGGACCAACAGCAGUCCUGUGUCCUUACAGGGCCGCAGGAGCAUCAACACAUCGUAUCCGUGCCUUCGCAAACACUGCCACCUGUUAACUGGCUGCCCGAGAUGGAAUAUCCCAAAAUGUCACAAGGAACCAGAGAAGGGACAUGGAUUAGGACUCCCUAGUGCCCUGUGGGUCGAGGUCUAAUCGGGACUGCCGCACAGGGCCAGGCUGGCGGACGGAGUUUCUCCUCCACAUCCCCAGCUCUUAGGAGUGGGAAGAUAAGAGACCCCCCAACAUAUCCCACCCAACAGAUCCAUGGGCUGCCCACUGGAUCUUCCAUUUCUGGGUGCUGUUCUCUGCCCAGCAGUUUGAAGUAGCCUAGACUCCCUGGACUUUCACAUUUAAAGCCCAGGUUCCUCACUUUGAUUGGUCUGCCUUUCAUUGUCACUGCCACACAAGGAUUCACCUUCCUGUGUGUGUAAACCCUCCUCUUCCCCAGGAUCCCUCUUCCUCCUCGCUGACCUACCAAUCCUGUCCAGCCAUCUCCCUCCCCAAGCUUGAUCACCUUUUCUGGUGUUCUGGCUGGCUCUGAAGAGUCCUGAUUUGAUGAAAAUACCCUUUUCAACAAAGAGCACCUACAUUCUCCAGACUUUUGCCUUCCUGAGCCUGCAGAUAGCCCUCCAAAGGAUAUGAAACUACCCCUGGAAUGGAAUAUUAGCUAAUACACAGCAGCAAGUGGAACCCACCUUUUAGAGUCAGGGGGCUAUGGGAACUUGACCUUUCAACAUUGUCAGCAAUUCACUGCACAGUUCUAAACGAAACUAGUUCAUCUGCAUAACCAUAUUGUGCAUUUCAGCUCAUGUCCAGAGGCAUGCUGGGGAUGGAAAUUGGCUUUUCUGCUUUGACCUUCGUCCCAUACAGAGUGAGCAUGAAUGAGAAGUGGGCCAUGUUGUAUAAAGUGAUCUCCAGUCGCAAGAAGGUUAAGAAACUUGAAGGACAAUCUCCUCCCCAAAUGAAAUGGAAAGCCCUUGAACUACCAUCAUUUACAAAUCUCCAAAAAGGAAACAGGUUCAGAAGUGACUGUGUGAGGUUGAACUGAGCAUUGGCUGGCCACGGCCACUUACACGGCAUCGUCAUGGAGAGGUUGCCUUUCCUUGUGAUGAACACUGGCCUCAGAGGGUAUGAAGCACAUCCUCCAAACCCUAGCCUGAGUAAAUCCAUCUUGCCGCCAGCCUCCAUGUAGCUAUUCUGUGUGCCAGACCACAGCAAAACAAAGCCAUCUUUCUCCUGGCUUUGGUCAGGCAGUGUUGGCUGAGAUCAGCAUAACCCCCCAACACACAACCCCCAUUAAAAACAAGUAACAAAUUUUCCUGGAGUCUGGGUUUUUGGUUUUUAGUUUGUUUGUUUUGUUUUUCAAGGCAGGGUUUCUCUGUGCAGCCCUGGCUGUCCUGUAACUCUCUGUAGACCAUGCUGGCCUUGAACUUACAGAGAGCCGCCUGCCUCUGCGUCUGAGUGCUGGGAUUAAAGGGGUGCACCACCACCUGGAGUCUGGUUCUGUCUGUGCCCAUUUAUCUGAACUUGUAGUUACUUCUGCUGCUUAACCAGCCCAGAACCAAGGCAAGGCAGAGGGAACCCCAAACCAAGGCAAGAAGGGGCCCAAAAUCAGGCCAAAAAUUAGAAGGCUCUCCUAACCAAGGAAAAAAAGCAGAGGGGGCCCAGAACCAGGGCAAGAAAGGGGAGGGAUCUCCCAACCAGAGCACAAAAGUUGAGGGUAUACAAAACCAGGGCAAAAAAGCAGAAGGAACCCCAAACCAAGGCAAGAAGACUCUAAGCCCAGGUCUAAAUUAAUUCUGCUGCACAUGUGGGCUUAGAGCCAUAUAAAAUAGGCAUUUGCACGGGAUGAGGAGAAAACUUCAGGAGAAUACCGCCAUCCUCAACAGUCCACUGCUAAGGAACCCCCAAUAAACUCAGUUACUCCAGCACGCUGGACUGGUAUGGGUCAUUCUUUGGGUCAUUGGUGCCAUCCCAG